AGUUUGAUCCUGGCUCAGGAUGAACGCUAGCUACAGGCUUAACACAUGCAAGUCGAGGGGCAGCAUCAUCAAAGCUUGCUUUGAUGGAUGGCGACCGGCGCACGGGUGAGUAACACGUAUCCAACCUGCCGACAACACUGGGAUAGCCUUUCGAAAGAAAGAUUAAUACCGGAUGGCAUAGUUUUCCCGCAUGGGAUAAUUAUUAAAGAAUUUCGGUUGUCGAUGGGGAUGCGUUCCAUUAGGCAGUUGGCGGGGUAACGGCCCACCAAACCAACGAUGGAUAGGGGUUCUGAGAGGAAGGUCCCCCACAUUGGAACUGAGACACGGUCCAAAUCCUACGGGAGGCAGCAGUGAGGAAUAUUGGUCAAUGGACGAGAGUCUGAACCAGCCAAGUAGCGUGAAGGAUGACUGCCCUAUGGGUUGUAAACUUCUUUUAUACGGGAAUAAAGUGAGGCACGUGUGGUUUUUUGUAUGUACCGUAUGAAUAAGGAUCGGCUAACUCCGUGCCAGCAGCCGCGGUAAUACGGAGGAUCCGAGCGUUAUCCGGAUUUAUUGGGUUUAAAGGGAGCGUAGGCGGGUUGUUAAGUCAGUUGUGAAAGUUUGCGGCUCAACCGUAAAAUUGCAGUUGAUACUGGCGACCUUGAGUGCAACAGAGGUAGGCGGAAUUCGUGGUGUAGCGGUGAAAUGCUUAGAUAUCACGAAGAACUCCGAUUGCGAAGGCAGCUUACUGGAUUGUAACUGACGCUGAUGCUCGAAAGUGUGGGUAUCAAACAGGAUUAGAUACCCUGGUAGUCCACACAGUAAACGAUGAAUACUCGCUGUUGGCGAUAUACAGUCAGCGGCCAAGCGAAAGCAUUAAGUAUUCCACCUGGGGAGUACGCCGGCAACGGUGAAACUCAAAGGAAUUGACGGGGGCCCGCACAAGCGGAGGAACAUGUGGUUUAAUUCGAUGAUACGCGAGGAACCUUACCCGGGCUUAAAUUGCAACUGACGGAAUCGGAAACGGUUCUUUCUUCGGACAGUUGUGAAGGUGCUGCAUGGUUGUCGUCAGCUCGUGCCGUGAGGUGUCGGCUUAAGUGCCAUAACGAGCGCAACCCUUACGGGUAGUUACCAUCAGGUUAUGCUGGGGACUCUACCCGGACUGCCGUCGUAAGAUGUGAGGAAGGUGGA
rnacentral:rRNA from 1 species